UGGUGGAGUGAUUUGUCUGGUUAUUCCGUUAACGAACGAGACCUCGACCUGCUAAAUAGUUUGGCGAACUCUUCUGGGUUCGUACAACACUUCUUAGAGGGACUAUCGGUGUGUAGCCGAUGGAAGUUCGAGGCAAUAACA
rnacentral:rRNA from 1 species